AUGAUUUCCAAGUACAAAGAUCAAUGAGUUGGCAGCUUAGAACUUUCUUUCGUUGCUUAUCAAGGGAGUGAGAGGUGAUUGUCGUAUUUGGGAGCUAAUUCAUAAAUGGACAAACCAAGGCUUGCCCGUGUGACUAAGGUUCUUGGAAGGACAGGGUCCCAAGGCCAGUGUACUCAGGUACGAGUUGAAUUCUUGGAUGAAAGUAACAGAUCCAUCAUCCGUAAUGUCAAAGGACCCGUGCGUGAAGGUGAUAUACUGAACCUGCUAGAAUCUGAGAGAGAAGCAAGGAGACUUCGUUGAUAAUCUGUGUGUUAAGGUAUAUGUAUUUGAAUAUCAACCAGUAUGUGAUCACCAUUUCAAGAACUAUUCCAUUGUAAACAUUGGAACUUGGAAUUAAAAAAAUUUUAAUUUCA